rnacentral:rRNA from 1 species
UACGUAGGGUGCGAGCGUUGUCCGGAAUUAUUGGGCGUAAAGAGCUUGUAGGCGGUUGUCGCGUCUGCUGUGAAAAUCCGGGGCUCAACCCCGGACUUGCAGUGGGUACGGGCAGACUAGAGUGUGGUAGGGGAGACUGGAAUUCCUGGUGUAGCGGUGAAAUGCGCAGAUAUCAGGAGGAACACCGAUGGCGAAGGCAGGUCUCUGGGCCACUACUGACGCUGAGAAGCGAAAGCAUGGGGAGCGA